GUCUUGGCUUUGGCAGCACAUACACUGAAAUUAGGAGGAUACAGAGAUUAGCAUGGUCUCUGCACAAGGAUGACAUGCAAAUUCAUGAAGCGUUCCAUAUUUUU